UUCCAGGUGGCUCAGUGCUAAAGAACCUGCCUGCAACGCAGGAGUCACAGGAGACCCAGGUUCGAUCCCUGGGUUGGGAA
rfam:TPA: Bos taurus chromosome X, whole genome shotgun sequence.